rnacentral:lncRNA from 1 species
AUGAAAGGCCAAGAUCUCCCCAUCUGGGAUCAAGAGAUUAACCAAGAAAAUAACAAACAAAAUGUCAAUUGCCAAGAGGCCCAAAAAAAGUUGAACGUUUCCUCUGAAGGUACAAAUGGAAGUUUUGCAGAGGACCGUGUUGACAACAAAGCGUUUUUAAUGUUGAACCAUCGAUCUGUAAUUCAAAUCUUUCGUUAGAACCGUUUUCCCCGUUUCCUGGAAUCUGUCUCAACAUAAACCAACCCAAAAACCCUUGAGAACCCACCCAAGAAGAAUACCAAACACAGAUACAUUAUUAAAACAAACUAGAAAUCAGCAAAAUGUGCGCCAGCAUCUUUUUUAGCACCAAACAACCAAAUCAAUCAAAUGCAUUGAUCACUGCCAAACAUAACAAUUUAUUUAUUAUUUUUAAUUUUUUUUUGGGACGGGGAGGGGUUUUAAAAAAUAAAUGGAUGGCAAACUGUAAGAGCUUUGAAAUGUAAUAGGGGGUAUUGUUCCCUCAGUAUUCUACCAGUGAAUGAUCCGGAAAUUAAAACUCAGAUUACUCAGAUUUUUCUUCAUUUUGGUCCAUCUCAUUGAACACAUGGAUCUAUGAAAGGGGGCCUUAUCUCCCAGAAGAAAACUUCCUACAACCUAAGAAUUCUUAUCUUGGACCUUCAGGAAUAACUCCUUCAAUUUUUCAUCUUUCAGGGUCAAACUUGCGCCAAAAUACCCCUAUCGAUGGUGUAAGUCGGCAAUCGCAUAACUGUAAGUCGGCAAUCACAUAAUCGUUUAUGGUGUCUGAAAAUCUCCGCCUCUAUGUUAAUUUUUUAAGGAGAACAAAUUGACAUCAUUCCUUGAAGUUUUUGCAAAAUUUUCUUCGCACAGAGAAGAAAAAUCAAGGCAGUUUAAAAGAAUUGCCAUUGAGUAGUUUUAUGAUUGAAAAAUAAAGUAUGACAGGAAGUCUGCGGCGUCGCAAAUUGAGUUAUGUGAUUGCCGACUUACGCCGUUGAUAUUUUCUUUCUUCAUACAAUUGAAGAAAGUAACAGAAAAUUUUCUACUAGAAGAUAAGGUCCUAUUUCUCAGAUAUGUCGCUUACAUAUUUUUCACCAGAUUUUCAAGUCGGAAUCUUUUUUUCUAUCCAGCUUGGAUCUCUCAAUCUUUCUCAAUGGCUUCGCGAUUCCAAGUUUCAGUUAAAUAUGAAAAGAUCCUUUAAAUUACAGUCAAAAGAACAGACUAAAAUUGAUGCUUAGAGAAAGCAUACCUCCAGGGCUUCGAAUAAUUGAUAUAAGGACAAAGUUGCUGAUGCUACUUUGUCUUCAGUUUGCUUGAAGAAUAAUAGAGCUACACAAACAGAGGAAUUUUUUCUCUCAAGUGCUUGCUUCAGUACUCUCUAAUAGGGGUCUGGAUCUAAAGAGGGUACUUGUACGAGAACCCAUCGACCAGUAACAUAUAGCAGAGAUUUAAAACUCAAGUGUAUUCUUUUAGAGCGAUCCUUUUCUCUCUGGCAUGCCAGUACAUUACGAAAUUGACGAGAGUGUUGAGCUAUUAACUGAGCAAUGGAUCGGUGGCAUCCAUUCUUUCUCUUUCAUUUUCUGAAAGUAUGCAGAGAACUAAGUUUUUAGGAAUUUUUUUCAGAUUUUCACUUUCUCACUACCCUUGCAGUUGGAAAAAGUAUCUUUAACUCUAAAUGGCAGAGAAAACCUUCUUUGGAAAUGCCAAAAAUGAGACCCAACUGAAACAAUACGCUUUUAUGACGUGGCUAGGCAUAGAAAACAGCAUUGCUGAUUGGCUGAACUUGGCUGUCAACUCAAAAAACUGUCAGCUUUAGUUUAGCUUUUUCUCACCUAAAAAUAUAACUUUUCGGUUUGUUUCAUAAAAUAUUACUUCUAUAACAACCUUCUACUAUACUACUCACUAUACGUACUUUCUAUACGUACAACUACAACCUGCAAAAAUGUCUUGCCACUGCUUCAUUAUUCCUUACUGAUCAUUUUAAAAAGCUAAGGAAGCAUAUUCUUCACUGAUCCUAUGGGAAGUUAUGAGAUGACUGAUGGAUCACAACCGAAGGAAAAUAAAGACGGGAAGAAAUGACUAAUUUCGACAUACUCGUUGGAUUUUUCAAGCUGAACACCUCCUACGAAGGACGCCAAAAUACUUGCCACAUUGUGGUAAAACAUUAAUACACACACUAGAACACCAGAGAAUAGUUUACUGAAAUUUUACCGAUGUGAAAGAGAGAGUCUAAAGGAGCAAUUCAUUCAGUCGGCUGGCAUUGCCAAGACAUGCUGAAAAUGCAGUUGUUAGGAGAUGCACUGGGGAUUGUAAGGAUUUUAAUUCUCUGUUAUGCUGGUAAAAAGCACUUGACAAGUAUUUCGGUGUAAAAUGUGCCAGAGGAGGGAGGAAACACUCAGACUUGUCAAAUUAAUUCAAUGUUAUUGGAAAAACUUACUCACUUUUGUGCGUUAAAAAUAAGCGUUUAGUUUGUUUACUGCCCAAUCAUCAUUAGUGAGUCAACUGAAGUUGCUAAUGUUGGCUGGACGGUGAACAACUGACACUCUAGUUUUAAAUUAUGUAUAAAAAAAAAUUUGGAUCAAUUUGCAGUAUUUUUAUAAUAAUUCUGCAUAGCCUUCCCAUCACCUAGAAACGUUUAAGGAAUUGUUUGGUGAAACCAGACACAUGAGACCAGCCAUAGGCAGUCACUUACAAAAUUGUUUGUCAAGAAACAUAUUAAUACUUCAUUCUCUCAACCAGUCACAAAAGUCUACCGAUGUUUCAUUUAUCAACCUUUCACCGACAAUAAAUUGAAAUUCACAGAUGUUUGUCCCAGAGAAACAAAAAAUUCUUUAAAAAAAGUUGACACUUCAGCGUCCAGCCCAUCGUACAAAUGGGGGCCUUCCAAUUGCCACUUAAUAUUUUAUUUCUCGGCCAUUUCCUGCACGAAAUUCCUUGAAAAUCUCAUCAUGAGAUCUUUGACAGGUCCUGAACCUAUCGGUUACCUUCAAAGAUCAUCGGGCCGACAAUCUUUGAAAGCCAAUGGUCAACAAUUCCAUCGAUGAGCUUCUUUGAAGCCUCUAGUUUGUAGGUGGGCUGGGCGCUCUAGUUAAGCCUUGACUUGAUAAGUUCAGAUAACAUUGUAGAUUUGAAAGGAACAUUAUAGUGCCUUAAAGUUUGGCAAUAGCAGGUCGUAGCUAGUGCUGUUACUAUUUCCUCAGUGAUGAUUUUAACCUCAGAACACAGUUAAUUGAAAGAGAUAAAAAUGGGUACUUUACAAUGAAUUCAAGAUUAUAAGAUAGUUGACAUCUCAGCCGACUGGAGUUUUAGAUGUACCAAAAUAAUUUAUGAUGAUAUUCACUUAGCUGAAAUACUCCAAGUAAAAACUGGAAAAAAAAGAAGAAAAAAAAAAAACACAUUCGAAGACUAGAAAUUGGAUUUCCUCCUUGAUGGAACAAAAUUUAAGCUAAAUAUCAAAUACCUGAGCGGUCAAAUUUCGGAGUAAGAGCCACGAUGAGGAUGAUGGCCACUGAGAGGAUGAGCCGGAAUGAGCGCCACUACUCCAAUUGGAGCCAGCAGUCCAGCCAUUGCUACUUGAACCCGAGUUUUGAGCAGAGCCAGUUUUGGAGGAGAGACCCGGGGGAGGACCGCGUGAUUUCGGUGCACCCCACAGUUCGCUUGUAACGACAGUUGGUGGCUGAGCAUCUCCCCAGCUGGUUGUUUUACCAGUAGUGCCCAAUUUGGCAAGAGGUCUGAAAAAGAUGUAUAGAAUUAGUCAGAGGAAAUCCGAUUCAGUAUGAAAACUUGGAAAAAAAUUGCUCGAUACGAGUCAAAUGAUGAGCAAACAU